rnacentral:rRNA from 1 species
UACAGAGGGGGCAAGCGUUGUUCGGAAUUACUGGGCGUAAAGGGCGCGUAGGCGGCCUUCUAAGUCGAACGUGAAAUCCCUGGGCUUAACCUGGGAACUGCAUCCGAUACUGGAUGGCUUGAAUUCGGGAGAGGGAUGCAGAAUUCCAGGUGUAGCGGUGAAAUGCGUAGAUAUCUGGAGGAAUACCGGUGGCGAAGGCGGCAUCCUGGACCGACAUUGACGCUGAUGAGCGAAAGCUAGGGGAGCAAACGGG